rnacentral:rRNA from 1 species
GUAGGUGGCAAGCGUUGUCCGGGAAUUAUUGGGGCGUAAAGCGCGCGCAGGCGGUUUUUUAAGUCUGAUGUGAAAGCCCACGGGCUCAACCGUGGGAGGGUCAUUGGAAACUGGAGAACUUGAGUACAGAAGAGGAAAGCGGAAUUCCACGUGUAGCGGUGAAAUGCGUAGAGAUGUGGAGGAACACCAGUGGCGAAGGCGGCUUUCUGGUCUGUAACUGACGCUGAGGCGCGAAAGCGUGGGGAGCAAACAGGAUUAGAUACCCUGGUAGUCCACGCCGUAGACGAUGAGUGCUAAGUGUUAGGGGGUUUCCGCCCCUUAGUGCUGCAGCUAACGCAUUAAGCACUCCGCCUGGGGAGUACGGCCGCAAAGGCUGA